CCUACGGGAGGCUGCAGUGAGGAAUAUUGGUCAAUGGGCGAGAGCCUGAACCAGCCAAGUCGCGUGAGGGAGUACUGCCCUAUGGGUUGUAAACCUCUUUUGUCGGGGAGCAAAAGCCGGACGUGUUCGGCUGUGAGAGUACCCGAAGAAAAAGCAUCGGCUAACUCCGUGCCAGCAGCCGCGGUAAUACGGAGGAUGCGAGCGUUAUCCGGAUUUAUUGGGUUUAAAGGGUGCGCAGGCGGAUUUUUAAGUCAGCGGUAAAAUCGUGGGGCUCAACCCCAUCCAGCCGUUGAAACUGGGGAUCUAGAGUGUGCGAGAGGUAUGCGGAAUGCGUGGUGUAGCGGUGAAAUGCAUAGAUAUCACGCAGAACCCCGAUUGCGAAGGCAGCAUACCGGUGCACAACUGACGCUCAGGCACGAAAGCGUGGGUAUCGAACAGGAUUAGAUACCCUUGUAGUC
rnacentral:rRNA from 1 species